rnacentral:rRNA from 1 species
UACGGGGGGAGCAAGCGUUGUUCGGAUUUACUGGGCGUAAAGGGCGUGUAGGCGGCCACCGCAAGUCGACUGUGAAAUCUCCGGGCUUAACCCGGAAAGGUCAGCCGAUACUGCGGGGCUAGAGUGCAGAAGGGGCAACUGGAAUCCUCGGUGUAGCGGUGAAAUGCGUAGAUAUCGAGAGGAACACCUGCGGCGAAGGCGGGUUGCUGGGCUGACACUGACGCUGAUGUGCGAAAGCUAGGGGAGCGAACGGG